rnacentral:tRNA from 1 species
AUUUAGAUAGCUUAAUAAAAAGCGUAGCACUGAAGAUGCUAAUAUGAUUUAAAGAAUCUUUAAAUA